UCGUCAGAUGGACAAUACCUCAACGGAGACAAAUGUGCUAUGGAAUAUCUCGAUGCAGUGUCACAUUUAACCAGGUACUAGUGAUCUAGAAUUAAUGUACAAAUGUAUUGUAUGCAACAUGUGCAAUAAUUGCAUGUAACUGUGUAUUUAUAAGUGCUAUGCAAUAUGAAAAAUGAAUGAAGAUAUGUGCAAUAGAUGUAUGCAUGUAAAAGUACUCAUGAAAUGUGUAAAAUAAUUGUGUAACUG